GAUCCUGGCUUAGGAUGAACGCUAGCUACAGGCUAACACAUGCAAGUCGAGCGAGGAGAUUCCUCGGGAUGAUCCUAGCGGCGGACGGGUGAGUAACACGUGGGCAACCUGCCUCAUAGAGAGGAAUAGCCUUCCGAAAGGGAGAUUAAUACCUCAUAACAUUGCAGUUUCGCAUGGAACAGCAAUUAAAGGAGCAAUCCGCUAUGAGAUGGGCCCGCGGCGCAUUAGCUAGUUGGUGAGGUAACGGCUCACCAAGGCGACGAUGCGUAGCCGACCUGAGAGGGUGAUCGGCCACAUUGGGACUGAGACACGGCCCAGACUCCUACGGGAGGCAGCAGUGGGGAAUAUUGCACAAUGGGGGAAACCCUGAUGCAGCAACGCCGCGUGAGUGAUGACGGCCUUCGGGUUGUAAAGCUCUGUCUUCAGGGACGAUAAUGACGGUACCUGAGGAGGAAGCCACGGCUAACUACGUGCCAGCCGCCGC
rnacentral:rRNA from 1 species